rnacentral:tRNA from 1 species
GGGCCAGUAGCUCAAUCGGUAGAGCGUCUAACUCAUAAUUAGCAGGUAACGGGUUCGAAACCCGUCUGGCCCA